UACGUAGGUGGCGAGCGUUGUCCGGAUUUACUGGGCGUAAAGCGCGCGCAGGCGGGCUGGUCAGUCCGGGGUGAAAUCUCACGGCUCAACCGUGAGCGGUCCCCGGAUACUGCCAGUCUUGAGGUGUCUAGAGGAGAGCGGAAUUCCCGGUGUAGUGGUGGAAUGCGUAGAUAUCGGGAAGAACACCAGUGGCGAAAGCGGCUCUCUGGGGACCACCUGACGCUGAGGCGCGAAAAGCGUGGGGAGCGAACCGG
rnacentral:rRNA from 1 species